rnacentral:rRNA from 1 species
UGGGGAAUAUUGGGCAAUGGGCGCAAGCCUGACCCAGCCAUGCCGCGUGGAUGAAGAAGGCCCUAGGGUUGUAAAGUCCUUUCACCGCUGAAGAUAAUGACGGUAAGCGGAGAAGAAGCCCCGGCUAAUUCCGUGCCAGCAGCCGCGGUAAUACGGAAGGGGCUAGCGUUGUUCGGAAUUACUGGGCGUAAAGCGCGCGUAGGCGGCCUGGCAAGUUGGGGGUGAAAUCCCGAGGCUCAACCUCGGAACUGCCUCCAAAACUGCCAAGCUCGAGUCCGGAAGAGGGGCGUGGAAUUCCCAGUGUAGAGGUGAAAUUCGUAGAUAUUGGGAAGAACACCGGUGGCGAAGGCGGCGCCCUGGUCCGGUACUGACGCUGAGGCGCGAAAGCGUGGGGAGCAAACAGGAUUAGAUACCCCCGUAGUCC